UGGCGGACGGGUGAGUAACGCGUAAGAACCUGCCCUUGGAGGGGGACAACAGCUGGAAACGGUUGCUAAUACCCCAUAGGCUGAGGAGCGAAAGGAGGAAUCCGCCUAAGGAGGGGCUUGCGUCUGAUUAGCUAGUUGGUGAGGCAAUGGCUUACCAAGGCGACGAUCAGUAGCUGGUCUGAGAGGAUGAUCAGCCACACUGGGACUGAGACACGGCCCAG
rnacentral:rRNA from 1 species